rnacentral:tRNA from 1 species
GGGCUGUAGCUCAGAUGGUUAGAGCGCACGCCUGAUAAGCGUGAGGUCGAUAGUUCGAUUCUAUUCAGGCCCACCA